rnacentral:rRNA from 1 species
CCUACGGGAGGCAGCAGUGAGGAAUAUUGGUCAAUGGGCGCGAGCCUGAACCAGCCAUGCCGCGUGAAGGAUGACGGCCCUAUGAGUUGUAAACUUCUUUUGUACGGGAGUAAAGUGAGUCACGUGUACCUUUUUGAAUGUACUUUAUGAAUAAGGAUCGGCUAACUCCGUGCCAGCAGCCGCGGUAAUACGGAGGAUCCGAGCGUUAUCCGGAUUUAUUGGGUUUAAAGGGAGCGUAGAUGGGUUGUUAAGUCAGUUGUGAAAGUUUGGGGCUCAACCGUAGAACUGCAAUUGAUACUGGCAGGCUUGAGUAUAGUUGAGGUAGGCGGAAUUCGUGGUGUAGCGGUGAAAUGCUUAGAGAUCACGAAGAACACCGAUUGCGAAGGCAGCUUACUAAACUGCAACUGACAUUGAUGCGCGAAAGUGUGGGUAGCAAACAGGAUUAGAUACCCGAGUAGUC